UAGCUAGGCUCUAUUACAUGUUUUAGAGGCAUUAAUUUUCCCUAGUGUCCCAGCCCACCAGCGCCACACUAUGGCCCAGAGUGAGCACUACAUGCGUUGCUGGCCUAAUAAAAAGGAUAAGAGAGGGGAAGGGACAGGGGCUAGAAGAGGGGCCCCAGAGGGCCAUUAAGGUACAGGCACGACACGCAUGGUGUUGGUGAAUCCAGAGCCAGGGCGCCACUCGGUCAGCACAAUGACCACAUCUCCCUUCUUGAAGAAGCCUCGGGCACGACACGCAUGGUGUUGGUGAAUCCAGAGCCAGGGCGCCACUCGGUCAGCACAAUGACCACAUCUCCCUUCUUGAAGAAGCCUCGGGCCUUGCCAACAUCCAUGGCCAAGGUUACACGAUGGUCAACAUCCUCAGCCCAGGCAUUCAGUAUGGCAUCCUUACACAGCACAGGGAAGAUGCCACGGUACAGAUGG
rnacentral:lncRNA from 1 species